UACGUAGGGUGCGAGCGUUGCCCGGAUUUAUUGGGCGUAAAGGGCGCGUAGGCGGCCACGCACGUCCGUUGUGAAAUCGCCCGGCUCAACUGGGCGGGGUCGGCGGAUACGGCGUGGCUGGAGCAAGCUAGGGGGCAAUGGAAUUCCCGGUGUAGUGGUGGAAUGCGUAGAUAUCGGGAGGAACACCAGUGGCGAAGGCGGUUGCCUGGAGCUUUGCUGACGCUGAUACGCGAAAGCGUGGGGAGCAAACAGG
rnacentral:rRNA from 1 species